ACGAACGCUGGCGGCAUGCCUAACCCCUGCAAGUCGCACGAGACCUUCGGGUCUAGUGGCGCACGGGUGCGUAACGCGUGGGAACCUGCCCUUAGGUUCGGAAUAACUCCCCGAAAGGGGUGCUAAUACCGGAUAAUGUCUUCGGACCAAAGAUUUAUCGCCUUUGGAUGGGCCCGCGUUGGAUUAGCUAGUUGGUAGGGUAAAAGCCUACCAAGGCGACGAUCCAUAGCUGGUCUGAGAGGAUGAUCAGCCACACUGGGACUGAGACACGGCCCAGACUCCUACGGGAGGCAGCAGUGGGGAAUAUUGGACAAUGGGCGAAAGCCUGAUCCAGCAAUGCCGCGUGAGUGAUGAAGGCCUUAGGGUUGUAAAGCUCCUUUACCCGGGAUGAUAAUGACAGUACCGGGAGAAUAAGCUCCGGCUAACUCCGUG
rnacentral:rRNA from 1 species